CUACGGGCCGCUGCAGUGAGGAAUAUUGCACAAUGGGGGGAACCCUGAUGCAGCAACGCCGCGUGGAGGAUGACGCAUUUCGGUGUGUAAACUCCUUUUAUAUGUCAAGAAAAUGACGGUAGCAUAUGAAUAAGCGCCGGCUAACUCCGUGCCAGCAGCCGCGGUAAUACGGAGGGCGCAAGCGUUACUCGGAAUCACUGGGCGUAAAGGACGCGUAGGCGGGUUGAAAAGUCAGGUGUGAAAGCCUACAGCUUAACUGUAGAACUGCACUUGAAACUCUCAAUCUAGAGUAUGGGAGGGGCAGAUGGAAUUAGUGGUGUAGGGGUAAAAUCCGUAGAUAUUACUAGGAAUACCUAAAGCGAAGGCGAUCUGCUGGAACAUUACUGACGCUAAGGCGUGAAAGCGUGGGGAGCAAACAGGAUUAGAUACCCCGGUAGUC
rnacentral:rRNA from 1 species